GCUUCUUUUUCCACCGGAGCUUGCUCCACCGGAAAAAGAAGAGUGGCGAACGGGUGAGUAACACGUGGGUAACCUGCCCAUCAGAAGGGGAUAACACUUGGAAACAGGUGCUAAUACCGUAUAACAAUCGAAACCGCAGGUUUUGAUUUGAAAGGCGCUUUCGGGUGUCGCUGAUGGAUGGACCCGCGGUGCAUUAGCUAGUUGGUGAGGUAACGGCUCACCAAGGCCACGAUGCAUAGCCGACCUGAGAGGGUGAUCGGCCACAUUGGGACUGAGACACGGCCCAAACUCCUACGGGAGGCAGCAGUAGGGAAUCUUCGGCAAUGGACGAAAGUCUGACCGAGCAACGCCGCGUGAGUGAAGAAGGUUUUCGGAUCGUAAAACUCUGUUGUUAGAGAAGAACAAGGAUGAGAGUAACUGUUCAUCCCUUGACGGUAUCUAACCAGAAAGCCACGGCUAACUACGUGCCAGCAGCCGCGGUAAUACGUAGGUGGCAAGCGUUGUCCGGAUUUAUUGGGCGUAAAGCGAGCGCAGGCGGUUUCUUAAGUCUGAUGUGAAAGCCCCCGGCUCAACCGGGGAGGGUCAUUGGAAACUGGGAGACUUGAGUGCAGAAGAGGAGAGUGGAAUUCCAUGUGUAGCGGUGAAAUGCGUAGAUAUAUGGAGGAACACCAGUGGCGAAGGCGGCUCUCUGGUCUGUAACUGACGCUGAGGCUCGAAAGCGUGGGGAGCAAACAGGAUUAGAUACCCUGGUAGUCCACGCCGUAAACGAUGAGUGCUAAGUGUUGGAGGGUUUCCGCCCUUCAGUGCUGCAGCUAACGCAUUAAGCACUCCGCCUGGGGAGUACGACCGCAAGGUUGAAACUCAAAGGAAUUGACGGGGGCCCGCACAAGCGGUGGAGCAUGUGGUUUAAUUCGAAGCAACGCGAGACCUUACCAGUCUGACAUCCUUUGACCACUCUAGAGAUAGAGCUUCCCCUUCGGGGCAAAGUGACAGGUGGUGCAUGGUUGUC
rnacentral:rRNA from 1 species